rfam:Tolypothrix campylonemoides VB511288 scaffold_0, whole genome shotgun sequence.
GGAAGCCGGAUGCACCGAAAGGCGCACGUCCGGAUUUAAAUGGGAGGUGCGGGGCGUAAUAGCCCCCAUCGACCCAAC